rnacentral:rRNA from 1 species
GACGAACGCUGGCGGCGUGCCUAAUACAUGCAAGUCGAACGCAUUUUCUUUCACCGUAGCUUGCUACACCGAAAGAAAAUGAGUGGCGAACGGGUGAGUAACACGUGGGUAACCUGCCCAUCAGCGGGGGAUAACACUUGGAAACAGGUGCUAAUACCGCAUAAUUCCAUUUACCGCAUGGUAAAUGGAUGAAAGGCGCUUUUGCGUCACUGAUGGAUGGACCCGCGGUGCAUUAGCUAGUUGGUGGGGUAACGGCCUACCAAGGCUGCGAUGCAUAGCCGACCUGAGAGGGUGAUCGGCCACACUGGGACUGAGACACGGCCCAGACUCCUACGGGAGGCAGCAGUAGGGAAUCUUCGGCAAUGGACGCAAGUCUGACCGAGCAACGCCGCGUGAGUGAAGAAGGGUUUCGGAUCGUAAAACUCUGUUGUUAGAGAAGAACAAGGAUGAGAGUGGAAAGUUCAUCCCUUGACGGUAUCUAACCAGAAAGCCACGGCUAACUACGUG